rnacentral:tRNA from 1 species
GUGGCUGUGGCAGAAAUGGUUAUGCACCGGAUUGUGGUUCCGGAUUAUGCGAGUUCAAGUCUCGUCGGUCACCCCA